rnacentral:tRNA from 2 species
GCCUGGGUGGCUCAGUCGGUUGAGUGUCUGACUUUGGCUCAGGUCAUGAUCUCACGGUUUGUGGGUUCGAGCCCCACGUCAGGCU